CUCAAUUUUAUUGUUAUCUUUUCAGAUGUUGGUUUGAAGUGUUGGCAUAGCUUCAAAGAGCUUAAUAUUUUUGUUUUUUGGGCUUCGAUUCUGAAGUCAGAUAUCUAUAUAGAUAUUUUUAAAUGUUUUGUGUGCAUUAACUUGUUCUGAUUACUGUGGUGCAGGUUGAUGCUCUUCAAGAUGUUUGAUCUAACUUGACACAGAGUUGCAAGUUCUUUUUUAUAAAGUUUUGGAGGAUUUGGAUGCACAUCUUUAUAAUAAGGUAUAAAUGGCAUCAAGUUCUAAUCCCACCCUCACUGCCACCCAACCUGAGGUGUCCUCAGAACUGCAACGGAGGGGUAAGUCGAUUGCAAUGGAUAGUGAUAUUGAGGACUUAGAGACAUGGUCCACCACUCCCAAUGAAACUGUUGAAACCAUUGCAACUGUUGGUAAUGAAGAGGGUGACAUUAAUCCAUUUGCAAGAAAAAAGAGAGCUAAGAUGUUUGCUUUUCUCUAAGUUUUUGUUUUGGUGGAAACAAAGGCAUUGGAUAUGCUGCUUGGUUACACAUUCUUUGAUCUUGUUUUGAUUGCUUUCAUGCUCUGUGGAGUCCCUGCUGAUGUAUGGUCCAUUGGUUGAAUUUAUAUUGCUUACUGUCAUCUAUAUGGAGGUCUUUUUUGUAUUUAGCUUAUUGGAUUAUCAUAUCCAUAUGAGCUAUCUUUGAAGGGUAGCCCAGAAUGAAUGGCUCUUGAGGUACAUCACAUUGCACCAAUUACUAAAUUCAUUUUAUGUUUAAUGCUAUAUUUUUCUUCAUCACAGUUUUUU